UACGUAGGGUGCGAGCGUUGUCCGGAAUUAUUGGGCGUAAAGAGCUCGUAGGCGGUUUGUCGCGUCGGCCGUGAAAACUUGGGGCUUAACUCCAAGCUUGCGGUCGAUACGGGCAGGCUAGAGUUCGGUAGGGGAGACUGGAAUUCCUGGUGUAGCGGUGAAAUGCGCAGAUAUCAGGAGGAACACCGGUGGCGAAGGCGGGUCUCUGGGCCGAUACUGACGCUGAGGAGCGAAAGCGUGGGGAGCGAACGGG
rnacentral:rRNA from 1 species